rnacentral:rRNA from 1 species
CCUUCACGAAGUCGGAAUUGCUAGUAAUGGCAGGUCAGCAUACUGCCGUGAAUACGUUCCCGGGCCUUGUACACACCGCCCGUCACACCAUGAGAGUUGGAAAUACCCGAAGCCUGUGAGCUAACUUAAAGAGGCAGCAGUCGAAGGUAGAGCCAAUGAUUGGGGUGAAGUCGUAACAAGGUAAC